rnacentral:rRNA from 1 species
AAUGAACGCUGGCGGCAGGCCUAACACAUGCAAGUCGAACGGAUCCUUCGGGAUUAGUGGCGGACGGGUGAGUAACGCGUGGGAACAUACCCUUUGGUACGGAAUAGCCUCGGGAAACUGGGAGUAAUACCGUAUGUGGUCGAGAGACGAAAGACUUAUCGCCAAAGGAUUGGCCCGCGUUGGAUUAGGUAGUUGGUGGGGUAAUGGCCUACCAAGCCGACGAUCCAUAGCUGGUUUGAGAGGAUGAUCAGCCACACUGGGACUGAGACACGGCCCAGACUCCUACGGGAGGCAGCAGUGGGGAAGCUUAGACAAUGGGGGAAACCCUGAUCUAGCCAUGCCGCGUGAUCGAUGAAGGCCUUAGGGUUGUAAAGAUCUUUCAGGUGGGAAGAUAAUGACUGUACCACCAGAAGAAGCCCCGGCUAACUCCGUGCCAGCCGCCGCGGUAA